rnacentral:misc_RNA from 1 species
GUUUAGCCCUGAUCGCAGCAUUUGUCUGAGCUCAUUUUUUUGAUUUCGGCGCGGCAGCUUCGCUGCCGCGCCGAAAUCAAAAAAAAUAGCGAGUGCGGAGAGCAGGAAAAUGC